AGCAAUUUGGCGCAGUGGAAGCGCGGUAUGUUACUAGAAUCAGCAUAAAGAUAUCUGAACGUGUCACUAACUCAUCCAAGCCGGGCUCAUAACCCGGAGGUCGCACGAUCGAAACGUGCAAUUGCUA